AAAUGUUUCAGGGUAUCGGAUGGGCAUGCGUCCUAUUAGUUAGUUGGCGGGGUAACAGCCCACCAAGACGAUGAUAGGUAGGGGUUCUGAGAGGAAGGUCCCCCACAUUGGAACUGAGACACGGUCCAAACUCCUACGGGAGGCAGCAGUGAGGAAUAUUGGUCAAUGGACGAGAGUCUGAACCAGCCAAGUCGCGUGAGGGAAGACUGCCCUAUGGGUUGUAAACCUCUUUUAUAAGGGAAGAAUAAGUUCUACGUGUAGAAUGAUGCCUGUACCUUAUGAAUAAGCAUCGGCUAACUCCGUGCCAGCAGCCGCGGUAAUACGGAGGAUGCGAGCGUUAUCCGGAUUUAUUGGGUUUAAAGGGUGCGUAGGCGGUUUAUUAAGUUAGUGGUUAAAUAUUUGAGCUAAACUCAAUUGUGCCAUUAAUACUGGUAAACUGGAGUACAGACGAGGUAGGCGGAAUAAGUUAAGUAGCGGUGAAAUGCAUAGAUAUAACUUAGAACUCCGAUAGCGAAGGCAGCUUACCAGACUGUAACUGACGCUGCAUGCACGAGAGCGUGGGUAGCGAACAGGAUUAGAUACCCUGGUAGUCCACGCCGUAAACGAUGCUCACUGGUUCUGUGCGACAUAUUGUACGGGAUUAAGCGAAAGUAUUAAGUGAGCCACCUGGGGAG
rnacentral:rRNA from 1 species